UUACGGCCAUAUCACGUUGAAACACCGGUUCCCGUACGAUCCUCAAAGUUAAGCAAUGUCGAGCCUGAUCAGUAACUAAAUGAGUGACCGCUUUCGAAUACCAGGUGUUAUA